GAUGAACGCUGGCGGCGUGCCUAAUACAUGCAAGUCGAGCGAACAGAUGAGGAGCUUGCUCCUCUGACGUUAGCGGCGGACGGGUGAGUAACACGUGGAUAACCUACCUAUAAGACUGGGAUAACUUCGGGGAACCGGAGCUAAUACCGGAUAAUAUAUUGAACCGCAUGGUUCAAUAGUGAAAGUCGGUUUUGCUGUCACUUAUAGAUGGAUCCGCGCCGCAUUAGCUAGUUGGUAAGGUAACGGCUUACCAAGGCAACGAUGCGUAGCCGACCUGAGAGGGUGAUCGGCCACACGGGAACUGAGACACGGUCCAGACUCCUACGGGAGGCAGCAGUAGGGAAUCUUCCGCAAUGGGCGAAAGCCUGACGGAGCAACGCCGCGUGAGUGAUGAAGGUCUUCGGAUCGUAAAACUCUGUUAUUAGGGAAGAACAAAUGUGUAAGUAACUAUGCACGUCUUGACGGUACCUAAUCAGAAAGCCACGGCUAACUACGUG
rnacentral:rRNA from 1 species